GGUACCUGGGCCAGCGCGGGCUUGGCCGCCACGGUGGCCCCGGUCCCGGCCAGGGGCCCCGAGUGGGGCACAGGGUGCCGCACAGGGGGCGUUCCACACCUCUCCCCUCCUCCCCUUGCAGCAGAGCGGGGCUGCUGCCGCAGGACAGGAAGAACGGCCUCCUGCGCGCCUGCCUCUGCAGCGUCUUCCACCUCCCUGGCCACGAGGACAGGAGAGACAUGGACACGUCUCUCUACUUCAAGACCGUGGAAGCCCUGGACAGCCUGCUGCAGGUGCUGGUGGGCAGCGCCGGCGCCUCCGGCCUCCUGGAGCUGCAGAACAUCUUGAAGCUCCUGCUGCCCUUCACCCAGCAGCAGCCGGAGGCCGUGGAGGAGAGGGCCAUGGCGCGGAUCGCCAGGCUGGCCGCCUUCAUCAACACCUGCUCCUUGCCCCAGGUAGGGAGCCCCUGGUGCAGGCAGCCCCGGCGCCCCCGUCCUCGCUCCACGGCCGCGGCUCUCCCCAUCUCCAGGCUUGCGCAGAGCCGGGGCUGGGGCUGGGGCCCUGCCGCCCCGCUCAGCCGUGGUCCCGCGCUGCCUCUC